AUUUAAGAAAUGAGUAAUUCAUAUAUGAUUUCGGCUCAUAGUUUGGUGGUAAGCACCCUUAAUUU
rnacentral:tRNA from 1 species